rfam:Oryza glaberrima chromosome 4 Oglab04_0235_5, whole genome shotgun sequence.
AAAAAGACAAACCCUGAGUUUCCGUGUCUAAUAUUUGACUGUCCGUCUUAUAUAAUUUUUCUUUAUAAUUAGUAUUUUCAUUGUUGUUAGAUGAUAAAAUAUAAUUAAUACUUUAUGCGUGAUUUGUCUUUUUAAUUUUUUAAUAAUUUUUUCAAAUAAGAUGGAUGGUCAAACGUUGUAUACGGAAACCCAGGGUUUGUUUUAUC